rnacentral:lncRNA from 1 species
UCCUCUUCAGCAAAAAACACUCAAGUUCAUGAAAUUUAACACGUUUGACUUCAUAUUUUGCACUUUUUUCAAGCAAAUUUUAAAGAUUGGUGUUGAUGGAUUCAAACCUACUGUAUUUUGAAAGAAAGUACACUAAAGAACAAAGAAAUCUCAUCGUUUUAAACACCUAAAUUUUCUAUACAGAAAGAGCGAAGCUUGUAUUAUUAAUCAAUUUUCAGACAGCUGUAUGCAAAUUCGUUGAUCGUUGUAAAUCUUGAUCAGCAUAAUUAUUUACUGAACCGUCUACACAGAAGUUCGAAAAUGAGGAAAGAAGAAAUUUAUAUUUGUGUUUUCGUGACAGUAUUUUUAAAUUGUUAUAUGACUCGGGGAGACGUUGAAAAAAUUGCCAUCCAUAUGCCAGGAGUUCGGCCAAAAAAGGUUUGUGAGUUUAUAUGUUUAUAAGGUGUCAAUUUAGUGUUGUAUAGAGUGUUAUCUCGAUUAUAAAGGUUG